rnacentral:sRNA from 1 species
CGGUUCCUGUUCCCGAUCCGCUACCUCGUCCGCAGCCGAUGCCGGAUCCGCCACCGGAUGAAGAGCCGAUUAAAU